UACAGAGGUCCCAAGCGUUGUUCGGAUUCACUGGGCGUAAAGGGUGCGUAGGUGGUCGGGUAAGUCUGAUGUGAAAUCUCCGAGCUCAACUCGGAAAUGGCAUUGGAUACUAUUCGGCUAGAGAGUCGGAGGGGGGACUGGAAUUCUCGGUGUAGCAGUGAAAUGCGUAGAUAUCGAGAGGAACACCAGUGGCGAAGGCGAGUCCCUGGACGACUUCUGACACUGAGGCACGAAAGCUAGGGGAGCAAACAGGAUUAGAUACCCCCGUAGUCC
rnacentral:rRNA from 1 species